GAGGCGUUGUUGGGAUACUACCCUUGUGUUAUGGCUACUCUAACCCAGAUAGGUUAUCCCUAUCGGAGACAGUGUCUGACGGGCAGUUUGACUGGGGCGGUCGCCUCCUAAAGAGUAACGGAGGCGCCCAAAGGUUCCCUCAGAUUGGUUGGAAAUCAAUCGCAGAGUGUAAAGGUAUAAGGGAGCUUGACUGCGAGAGCUACAACUCGAGCAGGGACGAAA
rnacentral:rRNA from 1 species